GACGAACGCUGGCGGCGUGCCUAACACAUGCAAGUCGAGCGAAUGAAGUUCCUUCGGGACUGGAUUUGGCGGCGGACGGGUGAGUAACACGUGGGCAACCUGCCUCAUAGAGGGGAAUAGCCUCCCGAAAGGGAGAUUAAUACCGCAUAAGAUUGUAGUACCGCAUGAUACAGCAAUUAAAGGAGCAAUCCGCUAUGAGAUGGGCCCGCGGCGCAUUAGCUAGUUGGUGAGGUAGUGGCUCACCAAGGCGACGAUGCGUAGCCGACCUGAGAGGGUGAUCGGCCACAUUGGGACUGAGACACGGCCCAGACUCCUACGGGAGGCAGCAGUGGGGAAUAUUGCACAAUGGGGGAAACCCUGAUGCAGCAACGCCGCGUGAGUGAUGACGGCCUUCGGGUUGUAAAGCUCUGUCUUCAGGGACGAUAAUGACGGUACCUGAGGAGGAAGCCACGGCUAACUACGUG
rnacentral:rRNA from 1 species